rnacentral:lncRNA from 1 species
GGAAAGGAAAGGGAAGGGAAGGGGAGGGGAGGGGAAGGGAGGAGAGGGGAGGAGAGGAGAGGAAAAAGGAAAAAGAAGGAAAAAGGAAAAAGGAAAAAGGAAAAGGAAAGGAAAGGAAAAGAAAGAAAAGAAAAGAGAAAAGGAACUCUAUAAAAUAAGUAGACCCUUUUAAAAUUUUGCCAUGGGAUUUUUAUUAUAUUUAUCAUAUUAUUCUUAUCUCUCUUGUCCCUUCCCCUCACAUUAAUCUCUUUUCUCAACUUGUUUCUUUUUCUUUUUUUAAAAAUAAUAUCUCUUAUUAUAUGGUUUCAUAUAUGUGUAACCAUGUAUACUUAUCAUCAUCUCUCUCCCCCCUCAUGUUCUCCCCCUUUUUGACUUUGUAACCACUGUGUCCUCCAAUCAGUGCUGUCUGCUGGAAUGUUCAUUGACCAUGUUCCCCCAUCUUGUGUGGGCAACUAUAGCUGCAGUGAAGGCAAUGGCCGUGUCACACACAGAAGACACCAUUCCAUAGCGUGUCUCCCCAUCCCCUGGCUCUUACAUUCUUUUCUUUCCCACUUCCAUGAUGGUUCCUGAGCCUUGAGGAGUGGCGGUUGACACAGACAUCCCAUUUAUAGGAGACUGGAGAUGCUGUAGAGAGAUAGCUGGUCCCAGAGCACGCCCUGAAGGAGGGAGCGCAACCAUCUGUGUUCUGUGGGAAACCUGAGAGCAACAACGCAGGUUGUUCCAAUUUUGUGGGAAAAUAUGGAGGACAAAUAGGCCUUGAGUGCUCAGACCAUGUGUCUUUAAAUAACAGAGAGGUAGGUAAACUUUUCUCUGGCUUUUGGUAUAUUCAGAGUAUACAACUGUGAAGCUAUUAUUUUUAUACUUAAGACAGUGUGUCACUGCUUUAGAUCCCCUAACAUUCUCGCUUCCAUUACUCAGGUGCUAGAACGUGAGUGGGCACCAUCAUGAAACCUAUUUUGUAACAGCAGCUUGCUCCUGUCCUCUGCUUAGCUGUCUCUGGGAGUUGGUUUGGAUACAAACCGAGUUUCUUAAGAGUGAUACUGCAGGGAGGCUCUAUCCUUAUAAAACAAAAAUCAGGAAAGCUGUCCUACAAGACAAGGCAGGAGGAAAAUCAACAACACAACCAUAUGUAUACAUAUGUAUAGAGGAUCUAGGUCCAGCCAAUUUGUGC